GAGAGAUUACACGAAGAAGUGUUCUCUGGUUUACGAAACUGGAGCUGAGUACCGGUACCGAGUCGGUGAGUACCGGUACUGGAACUGGGUACCGGUACCGUAUUGGUUGGGUACAGGUACACGGCUCUCGUUUUAGCUGGCCGAGUGCGGGGUAUCGGUACCACAAUUGAGUACCGGUACCCAAGCGGCAAAAUUGAGUUGGUGAGGAGUAUUUUGGUCUUUUGGAUGUUGGGUUUAU
rnacentral:lncRNA from 1 species